rnacentral:rRNA from 1 species
GGAGCGGUGGAAUGCGCAGAUAUCAGGAGGAACACCAGUGGCGAAGGCGGUUCUCUGGGCCUUUCCUGACGCUGAGGAGCGAAAGCGUGGGGAGCGAACAGGCUUAGAUACCCUGGUAGUCCACGCUGUAAACGGUGGGUACUAGGUGUGGGGUCCAUUCCACGGGUUCCGUGCCGUAGCUAACGCUUUAAGUACCCCGCCUGGGGAGUACGGCCGCAAGGCUAAAACUCAAAGGAAUUGACGGGGCCCCGCACAAGCGGCGGAGCAUGCGGAUUAAUUCGAUGCAACGCGUAGAACCUUACCUGGGUUUGACAUGGAUCGGGAGUGCUCAGAGAUGGGUGUGCCUCUUUUGGGGUCGGUUCACAGGUGGUGCAUGGCUGUCGUCAGCUCGUGUCGUGAGAUGUUGGGUUAAGUCCCGCAACGAGCGCAACCCUUGUUCACUGUUGCCAGCACGUUAUGGUGGGGACUCAGUGGAGACCGCCGGGGUCAACUCGGAGGAAGGUGGGGAUGACGUCAAGUCAUCAUGCCCCUUAUGUCCAGGGCUUCACGCAUGCUACAAUGGCUGGUACAGAGGGUGGCGAGCCUGUGAGGGUGAGCGAAUCUCGGAAAGCCGGUCUCAGUUCGGAUUGGGGUCUGCAACUCGACCUCAUGAAGUCGGAGUCGCUAGUAAUC